CAGCAGGAUCUCCUUGUAAAUCUAUUCUAGGUUGUGUCUGAUAAGACCAAGCUCCCGAUCCCUCCCACUCCCUCCACCUCCCAACAUGCAACCACAAGUCUCUUCUCCAAGUCCAUGAUUUACUUUUCUGAGGAGAUGUUCAUUUGUGCUUGAUAUUAGAUUCCAGUUAUGUGAUAUCAUAUGGUAUUUGUCUUUGUCUUUCUGGCUCAUUUCACUCAGUAUGAGAUUCUCUAGUUCCAUCCAUGUUGCUGCAAAUGGCAUUAUGUCAUCGUUUUUUAUGGCUUAGUAGUAUUCUAUUGUGUAUUUAUACCACAUCUUCCGAAUCCAAUCAUCUGUCGAUGGACAUUUGGAUUGUUUCCAUGUCCUAGCGAGACCAUACAUUCUAUUGCACAUUUUACUUUUCCAAAUCCCUCUUUCAACUUAGUAAAAUGGGUCCUAACUAAUAGUAACUAACAAGUGACUAUAAUUUAUUUUGUAUGAAGAUGGGUGACAAAUAUUCAUUCUUAUAAAAUACAACCAGGGCUAACCAUCGUAGGGUAAAAGUGAGUUAGUCUUUGGGUGAAAUGCUUAGGAUAAAGUCUUUAGUGAUUAAGCAUCAAAAACAACAGCACUCUUGAAGUUCCCACUGUGGUUCAGUGGGUUAAGAACCCAACGUGGUGUCUGUGAGGAAGCAGGUUUGAUCGCUGGCCUUGUUCAGUGGGUUAAGUAUCCCAUAUUGCCACAAGCUGCAGUGUAGGUGGCAGAUGUUGCUCAGAUCUGGCAUUGCUUUGUGUAGUCCUCAGGGGCAGCUCCAAUUCGACCUCGAGCCUAGGAACUUCCAUAUGCCACAGGUGUGGCUAUAAAAAGAAAAAGAAAACAACGACAACACUCUAGUGGAUAUCACCCUGUCCAUCACUGGUAACUGCAUCAUUUCAGAAACAGUGAAUGAAACUUGAAAAACAGAGUGACACAAACUGUGAAAUAAGCCAGAGUGUUACUACAGCAUCGGUUCUCACAAAGAUUUGUCUAGAGCUGCUGCAUAUGUCUUACUUGGACAUCUAAUAAGGCUCAGCCAGCAUGAUGUCACCAGUGCACUGGGCCAACCAGCCCUUCUGUGGGGUGGAAAGGUGAGCAAAGAAAAUGAAAAUGUAUUCCACUGUCUUCCAGCUCCCUUUAUUUCCAUCAAGAAAUCUGCUGUCAUAUCCUUUGUUGGUUAUUUUAGUUUUCACUUUCAUUCAGUUUUAAGUACUUUUCUUAAUCUUAUUCUACAGCUGUUAAUACAAUGUUUCUUGGCAGAUUUUUGGGUCAAUGUACUUAGGAUACAUUAUAGUUUCUGACCCCUAGUGAUGCUAUGGACAUUUGGCUUGGAACAGCUCAAUCUCUCCAAUUUCUUUUGUGUUCACUGUUUCAAGGUCUGGAUUUAGCUCAUUUUUUUUUUUUUCAGGGAGAAAGUAAAUCUUCAGAUAUUUUAUUUUAUGAGAAUCCACAAUGCAAUUAAACAUUUAUUAUAUACAGUAUCUAGUUAUAUUUUAGUGGGAGCCCUUCAAAAUGCUGCCCAUUGAAAAUAUUCAGCCCAGAAUAUUUACCAUAAAUUCCAUGUCUGAAAUAACUAUAUUGUUAACAUACUGGAAUGAUAUAAAAUAAUUUUAAAGAUUAUCAAAACACCUGGCAUUUUAAAAAUAGAAACUCUCUAGUUAUGUUUAAAACAUUAGAGUUUAUAGAGAUUAAAAGUGUUUUCUUCCUUUAAUCACUAUUCUGGAAUCUCAGUCUGAGCUGUUCUACUCUGCUCCUUAAUGCUGAGAACAUUCUGAAGGAUUUACUUUUGUUUAAUAUUUAUAUAUUCUAGAUUUCAUGUUCUUUUCCUGAAGGCAAUGUAUAUAUUCAUAGUGAAUUAUUUAGCAUCAAUCAUGGGCAACCUUGAUGCUGCUUCUUUUAAUCUUUCUGACUAAGAAAUGAUGUUCUCAUAGGUAUGCAAUGAAACAUGGUUUUGAGAGUCUUUUAAAAAAAACCAUAUAUUAAAACCUUUUGAGAAUCUAAGCAAAACGGUUUGUUUCCCACCAUUAACAUUAAUGUAAUGCAAUCUUUAUUUCUGGAAUAGCCAAUAUUCACAGUAAUAGAAGUUUUAGAAAAGACUCACUCUUCAAUUCUCUUUGCCAAUUUACUCAAACAUUAUCAAAAAGAUUGUGUAUUGUAGUUUUCUUCUUGAGAGAAAUAUAGACAAUAAUCUCUUUGAAAAGAGGGGGAGUCAGAAUACCUGUUGUGGUAACGAACCCAACUAGUAUCCAUGAGGACUCAGGUUUGAUCCCUAGCCUUGCCCAGUGGGUUAAGGAUCCGGCAUUGCCGUGAACUGUGGUGUAGGUCGCAAACAGGGCUCAGAUCCCGCAUUGCUGUGGCUGUGGUGUAGGCCAGCAGCUGCAGCUCUGAUUGGACACCUAGCCUGGGAACUUCCAUAUGUCAUGCAUGUGGCCCUGAAAAGCGAAAGUAAAUAAAUAAAUAAAUAAAUGGGACUCA
rnacentral:lncRNA from 1 species